CAGCUCCUGUUUUAGGCAAGCUCAGAUGCGCCCGGCGGCUGGUGUGCUCAUGCGUGUGCCUCCCUCUCUCACAGCUGGCCCUCGACUAUGGAAUCAAGUUCAUGGAGACCAGCGCGAAGGCCAACAUCAAUGUGGAAAAUCAUUUUUCACUCUCGCCAGAGAUAUCAAAGCAAAAAUGGACAAAAAAUUGAAGGCAACAGCCCCCAGGGGAGCAACCAGGGAGUCAAAAUCACACCGGACCAGCAGAAGAGGAGCAGCUUUUUCCGAUGUGUUCUUCUGUGAGGAACACCGCCUUACU
rnacentral:lncRNA from 1 species